rnacentral:rRNA from 1 species
GACGAACGCUGGCGGCGUGCUUAACACAUGCGAGUCGAACGGAAAGGCCCUGCUUGCAGGGUACUCGAGUGGCGAACGGGUGAGUAACACGUGGGUGAUCUGCCCUGCACUUCGGGAUAAGCUUGGGAAACUGGGUCUAAUACCGGAUAGGAGCCAUCUUUAGUGUGGUGGUUGGAAAGUUUUUUCGGUGUAGGAUGAGCUCGCGGCCUAUCAGCUUGUUGGUGGGGUAAUGGCCUACCAAGGCGGCGACGGGUAGCCGGCCUGAGAGGGUGUACGGCCACAAUGGGACUGAGAUACGGCCCAGACUCCUACGGGAGGCAGCAGUGGGGAAUAUUGCACAAUGGGCGCAAGCCUGAUGCAGCGACGCCGCGUGGGGGAUGAAGGCCUUCGGGUUGUAAACUCCUUUCGCUAGGGACGAAGCUUUGUUGUGACGGUACCUAGAGAAGAAGCACCGGCUAACUACGUG